CUGAAGUAACGGUCACUAUGAUCUUUUCUGAAGUUCAAACUUCUUGUUAUCCUUAACCUUAUGCAGUAUUUACUCCUCAGUGACAACUUUUCAGCUCUAAUUCUGUACUGUCUAGGCAACUACAAAAAAUAUAUACACCUGGAAAUGUUCAGUGCCAGCAUUAUUGUUAUCAUUUGUUGAAGAUCAAUGAUAUGUAAGUCAAGAGUAUGAUAUGGACCCAAAUAUUUCCAUUUAAAUGAAGAGAAAGAUCAGCUUCCUUCCCAUAUUACCCUUAGUAAAUUUGCAUUUAACAAGGCAUUGUGGGUACAUAGUUUUAAAGACGAAUCUUUGAAGAAAUUUUGUUUUAUUAGGUUUACUUCUAUUUCAGAAGAUUUUCACAUGGUACAUUGGGUCCUGUAGUGAAAAUAUUUCUGGAAAUAAUUUUAUCUGUAGCAUCAAUGAGAAAAAUAAUAUAGAGACUACAUAGCAAUUUUAUUUUUCCAUUUCUUGCUGAACUAUGGCACAAAAUAGUCUUUAUCCCCUCAAUUUCUUUGUAUUCAAACAGCUACCCCUUUGUCAACCUCAGCACUAUAGAAAUGAGGGCUGGCUUGCAUUUCUGCUGCAUUCGCGACAGUCCUGUAAAAUCGGAGACAUUAGUGUAUCUUAGUUUCGUCUGCCAGUAAAAGCCCUAGUUUCUGCUCUCUUUUCUCCAAUUAGCUAGGCUAAUUGAAUUCAUUAUCUAUUGCUGACUAACAAACCACCCUAAAUAUUUGUGGCAUGAAACAACUAUUUUUUUUUUCUUUUUUCUCAUAAGUCUGUGUCAGCUGGUCUGCUGAACCGGCCAAGAUCAGUCUUAACUGGACUUCUCCAUGUAUCUGCAGUCAGCUGGCAGUUUGACUACAGCAACAGGGUGACUCAACUCUGUGCUGUCUUUAUCCAGCAGGCCAGCCCAGGCUUGUUUGUAUGGCGGCAGCAAGUUUCAAAGAAAGAACUUGAAGCAUGUACGCCCCUUGGGGCCAAGGCUUAGAAUUGGCACGUUUCCACUGUUGGUCAGAGCAAAUCACAAGAGCAGUUGGGAUUCAAAGGGAAGGAAUGGAGAUGCAGAUGUAAAGGACGGACUUGCACUCACAUUGGGGGAAGGAGAGAGUGAGACGAUGAAGAAAGAAGCAUCAGCAUAUAUUUACUAUCAUGUCUCUUUAUCCAUGAAAACAAAAGAGAACAAACAAAAUACCUGUGUCAUGGAGGAGGGAGAUGUAAAGACAAAUCUUUCAUGCAAUCCAGUAUAAACACUGAAGCAUUUCAGUGAGUAUUUCUACACAAUCCUUUUAUUUUCUAAUUUUUUUCCUGAAUAAUAAAAUAAGUGUCUUUUCUCUCAUAUCAAUUUUAUAAUCUUAAUAUUUAUGUACAAAUUUAAUAUAAGCAGUUUCCUAUCUCAUCAGAAAUUUGUAGAGGGGUUCAAAAAUUUUUAUACAUAUAUAAAUAUAUAUAUGAAUAUUCAGAUAUUUUUAUUCAAGGCAAU
rnacentral:lncRNA from 1 species